GUGUGUGGUGGGGUGAGUGAGUUCUCUAACCAUGUGAUCUCUUUGUACAUGCUGGCUUCUCUUCCACUUUCUGCAGGGAGUUGAAGUAACCUGAUGCCCUUACCAGAUGCAGAUGCCAAGUCUUGAACUUCUUAAGCCACCAGAAUUAUUCACAAAGAGAUGUUAAAUUGGAUUAGAAGUUACCGGAGAUGGACUCCACUGGUAUUGAGAGAAGAGUGAGAAGAUGCAGGCUUUGUUUACAUGGAAAGGGGCAGGAUGCAGAUCAGAAUGAUUUCUCCACUUGUUUCUGUUUCUCUAUAUCUCACACAUCUUUCAAGACUCUUCGCUUAAGGUCCACAUUGUCUGGGAGGCCUUCCAGUACCAACUUGGAUCUCCAAGUUCCCCACCAGUGUGAACAAUCCUAAUUCUAGAAGGAAACUACUCCACGGGAGGAGGGCUGUUAAACACUGGAAAAGCCUACCAUUGGAACGGUAAGAUUGCCUGCCCCA